UGUAGUCUGCAACCCGACUACAUGAAGCUGGAAUCGCUAGUAAUCGCAAAUCAGCAUGUCGCGGUGAAUACGUUCCCGGGUCUUGUACACACCGCCCGUCACACCAUGGGAGCCGGUAAUACCCGAAGUCAGUAGUCCAACCUCGUGAGGACGCUGCCGAAGGUAGGAUUGGCGACUGGGGUGAAGUCGUAACAAGGUACC
rnacentral:rRNA from 1 species